AGGCCCUCGGGCUCAGGCAGUCAGAGUGCAGGUCCUGUAGUCAAGGGCUGAACACACCAGGAUGACUUGAUGCAAGACGGACCUGGUUCAAGCUCAUAUCUGCCAUGACUUUAGCCCAACUGUUCCUUGGCCCUCCUCAUUCAUGCAGGAGAAAUCAACCUGUCACAUUCCUUGGGGGUGGCAAGGAAUCAGCCGUGAUUGUAUGCAUCACGGGUUGAUGAACGCAGUUCUUACAGUCUUUGCUAUGACACCAGAUGGGCUCAAGGAAAAGCUUAAUCUAGUGGCUCCCAGGAAAAUGACCUCUAGAGUGAGACACACCAGGAUGGUGAGAGUGCUCCCUAGCCACUUGUUUGGAUCCCAUCCUUUCCUCGAUGCCCUGCACGUCGGCAUGCGGCCCUCGUCUUCUUGGUGUGCGAGAACCCACGAGAACCAUGCUCAUCCCUUGGGAUCUACCUGAGCGACCGUCCUUGGGAAAAACUGACGAGCUGUCUGUGUCUGCACCAACUCCUGCUUUGAGCAGUCUGCAGAUUGGAGCCGACAGCCCCGCUCCCCAGUGGGAAAGGAGCACCGUGACGGCCCAGACAGACAGACAGACAGAGAAAGGUGUUCAUGAAGCCAGCGUCGGCAGAGUGAGCUCUGUGAAACACAUAGGUUUUGGUGAGGAGAUCCUGUGCCACAGGGAAGCCCCGCUGCUGCUCUGGCACCAUGAGGCCAGUGGGACACCAAGGCACGAUAUCACAGAGACACCUGGGGAGUCCCUGAGUGAAUGUGCCCUGGAACACCUCCACCUUGGGCUCCCACUGAGUGACACUGUGACCAACGUGUCUUUUGCCCAUGGAGUGUCAUUCCCUCCCUUGGUGAUGGAACACAGACCAGGCAAAGACAACGUCAGAGCGAGUGCCCAUUCCGUCAGCUGGGCAAUGCUGUGUGCUCUAAAAUGCUCCCUUCUGAGGGACUUGUUGCUGAUGCCUGGGGUGAGGAUGGUGGCCGCUGGAAAAGGUUCCCCCAACAGAUCAGAGGGAGGCCUGGUGGCAGGGACAGACCUGGAGCGCCUGUUGUGACAGGGUGUCCCCCCUCUGUGGGAAAGGGAGUGAGAGGGCACGGAAGGACGUGGACAGGGCAUGCUGUCCCUGGCACAUCACGGACAGUCUUCUGGUCCUUUUGAGGCUUCCCUGCCCUGCUCUGCAAAGCUUCUGUGCCUGUGCCAGAGAAGACACAGCCUUGCAAAAGAUGGGAGGUGAGUCCGAAGUCCCAAGGUCUGAGCUGAUAAUGCAGGAGCUCCAGGCCUGCCCUCGGGGUGGUCCCCCUUCCGCCGAGGGCCCUGAGGACACAGGGCCAGCCAGCCAGGGUUGCUUUCCCUGGGCUAUGGGGGUCUCAAGGAGACCACAUCUGCAGUACGCUCUGAGGAAAAGCCGGUGACCCAACUUUGAAAACCAGUGAAGAAGAACCACUGUCCGUGGACGCAGAGAGGAGAGGCUGGCUGCUAAUGGGCACAGCUGCCAGUGUGGAUGAAUGGCUACCUCUGUUCUCACUGACUGACUUUCUUUGCAACCAUAGCUAAACGCAGCAAGGUUGCUUGCUGUGCCCAGCCCCAGGAGGAAGGAGGGAACCCGAAGGCCUGCAAUGCUGUUCCUGGCAACCAGUUAUCUGAACGAGACAAACGCAGAGAUAAUUUCUAUAGUGAAACCGAAACAGUAGACUCCUCCUGUGUCAGAUGAGAUAAUCUCAGUUACGUGACUGUGCACUACGUUCAUAGUUAACCAGAACGGAUGAGCAGCUGAGUGACCCACUGAAGCUUCCCCUGGGAAGGGCAGAGACAAUACUUUUUGAUCAGUCCUUUGUUUUUUUCCUCAAAUCAGAUGACUUCAUGGUCACAAAAUGGCUGCCAGUGCAAGCAGGCUACAUCCCCCCCGCCAUUCAGAUUGUUUUCUUUCACCUCAGACCAGCUGUUUUGAACUUUGCUGUGGAGCUGAUCAGAGAUCCACAACCUUGUCUCUAUUGUCUUCUGGCCUGUGAACUGGGGCAAGUUACAAACCCCCAGAAACCAUCCAUUUGGCUCAGGAACUGGGCUGGUUAAGGAAAGCUCUUAGCUGCACCCUUGGCCCUGCGGAAGUUCUGUGAACACUGGCCA
rnacentral:lncRNA from 1 species